rnacentral:rRNA from 1 species
UACGUAGGGGGCAAGCGUUUGUCCGGAUUUAUUGGGCGUAAAGAGCGUGUAGGCGGCCUGACAGGUCUGCUGUGAAAACUCGAGGCUCAACCUCGAGAUGUCGGCGGAAACCGUCUGGCUAGAGUCCGGAAGAGGAGAGUGGAAUUCCUGGUGUAGCGGUGAAAUGCGCAGAUAUCAGGAAGAACACCUAUGGCGAAGGCAGCUCUCUGGGACGGUACUGACGCUGAGACGCGAAAGCGUGGGGAGCGAACAGG